CGAGCACGCGCGUGUGGCAUAUCAAUAAGCGGAGGAAAAGAAACUAACAAGGAUUCCCUUAGUAACGGCGAGUGAAGCGGGAAGAGCUCAAAUUUGAAAUCUUCAAGGUUCUACCUUGACGAAUUGUAGUUUAUAGAAGUGUUUUCUGUUAGUGGAGUGGCAAAAGUUCUUUGGAAUAGGACAUCAUAGAGGGUGAGAAUCCCGUAUUUGGUCAUUCCUCCUAGCGUUGUGAUACACUUUCAACGAGUCGGAUUGUUUGGGAAUGCAGUCCAAAAUGGGUGGUAAAUUUCAUCUAAAGCUAAAUAUUGGCGAGAGACCGAUAGCGAACAAGUACCGUGAGGGAAAGAUGAAAAGAACUUUGAAAAGAGAGUUAAACAGUACGUGAAAUUGUCAAAAGGGAAGCGUUUGACACCAGUGUUGUUUUUCCGAAAAUCAAUUACGGAAUGUUUUGUUUUUAAGAAGUUAUGACUUUCAUCGGCUUGCUUCUUUCUUUACGAAACUUUCUUAAUGCACUUUUCGGUUAACAAGUCAACAUCAAUUUCUUUUGUUGUAAAAGGGUAUGAGGAGGGUGGCUUUCUUUUCGGAGAAAGUGUUUAUAGCCUUGUACCUCUGCAAUCGGAGAGAUUGAGGUCUGCAGCGUAGAUCCUUCGGGGUUAGAUACAUUUGUGCUAAGUUAUAGCUUUUCAUAGACAACUUGUUGACUAUGUUUAGUCUUGUAGCUUACUCGCUUACGCUAUUUUACCUACGCUUAGGAUGUUGAUGUGAUACUGCGAGCA
rnacentral:rRNA from 1 species